rnacentral:lncRNA from 1 species
CAAGCAGAGAGGAGUGUGGGGGGGUUUGCCAAUAGGGGGAGGCAGUGAGAGAGCUUCAGCCCUGCUCUGUGUGUGCGUGUGUGUUAUGUGUGUGUGUGUGUGUGUGUGUGUGUGUGUGUGUGUGUGUAGUUGCUCUGUCCUCUAGCUGAGUUGCAGCUUCAGUACCAGUGAGGAGGAGCGCAGAGCUGAGCGCGAGCCGCUUCAUGGUGCUGCCUGACUCCGUUCUCUCCGCGCUUUUCGCCCAGACCGACCCAAACGGAUAUUUAUCCCGGAUUUCACCGCACGAGAAGGUCCAUCCAUGUCCCUCACCGUGGGCCGGGGUUCGCUUCUGCUCUUCCUGCUGCUGUCAGCCCUGCAGGCUGGCACUGAUGGCAGAGGCACCCCGCUGUGCAGGCCGGGAUUCGCUGAAGAUGUGUACGACGCUCCGCUGCCCGAGAAACUACCGGAGGGACAGCCGCUGCUCACCGGGCUGGGCGUGGCUCCCUCUUGGUUCAGGCGUUUGUUCUUUAAACCGGGCGUCAGGUUUCCCUGGUUUGGGUCUGGGUUUGGGAGGCUGAUGGGCACAGACAGGCUGAUGUAAUAAAUCAGGAAUGAGCUCAUCCUCUGGAGCGGGU